rnacentral:rRNA from 1 species
UGGUCAAGUUAUUAAGGGUGCAGGGCGGAUGCCUUGGCACUAGGAGCCGAUGAAGGACGUGAUAAGCUGCGAUAAGCUUCGGGGAGUUGCACGUAAACUUUGAUCCGAAGAUUUCCGAAUGAGGAAACUCACUUAGAGUAAUGUCUAAGUAUCAUUAAGUGAAUACAUAGCUUAAUGAGGGGAACUCAGGGAACUGAAACAUCUAAGUACCUGAAGGAAGAGAAAGAAAUUC